rnacentral:rRNA from 1 species
UACGUAGGGUGCAAGCGUUGUCCGGAAUUAUUGGGCGUAAAGAGCUCGUAGGCGGUUUGUCGCGUCCGCUGUGAAAACCCGAGGCUCAACCUCGGGCCUGCAGUGGGUACGGGCAGACUAGAGUGCGGUAGGGGAGAUUGGAAUUCCUGGUGUAGCGGUGGAAUGCGCAGAUAUCAGGAGGAACACCAAUGGCGAAGGCAGAUCUCUGGGCCGUAACUGACGCUGAGGAGCGAAAGCAUGGGGAGCGAACAGG